rnacentral:rRNA from 1 species
CAGUCGCCGCGGGAAUACGAAGGGGGCUAGCGUUGCUCGGAAUGACUGGGCGUAAAGGGCGCGUAGGCAGUUUUGACAGUCAGAUGUGAAAUUCCUGGGCUUAACCUGGGGGCUGCAUUUGAGACGUCAAGACUAGAGUGUGAGAGAGGGUUGUGGAAUUCCCAGUGUAGAGGUGAAAUUCGUAGAUAUUGGGAAGAACACCGGUGGCGAAGGCGGCAACCUGGCUCAUUACUGACGCUGAGGCGCGAAAGCGUGGGGAGCAAACAGGAUUAGAUACCCCCGUAGUCCCUGUCUCUUAUAC